UUCCACAGAAUGUGAAGAACUUCUAUCGUCUAAAACAUCAUCGAGAAUUUGCGAUAAACGUGAGGUUAUCAAAGACUCAUCUAUAGAAAUAAUUCCUUCUAAAGAUUCUUCUUCUUCCAUUUUUGUUUAAAAUUUAUGCUAUGAUUAUUUUUGACUGUAACGACUUUAAGCAAUUAACGCGUGUUGAAUAAAUUAUGAAAAACGAAUAAAGCGAAAAAAUAUGUUAAUCUCCUUUCUUUUAGAAUUUCUUUCGUCCUAAAAAAAAAACUUGGUCCCUAAUUUUCUGUAUUGCCUUGGACAAUUUCCUCCUUUGUCACUCAUGAGGUUGCAAA